rnacentral:rRNA from 1 species
GACAGAGGUCCCGAGCGUUAGGCGGAAUCCCUGGGCUUAAAGCGUGUGUAGGCGGAUGCCUAAGUACCUUGUGAAAUCCCAUGGCUCAACCGUGGAACUGCUUGGUAUACUGGGUCUCUUGAGCCACCUAGGGGCAAGUGGAACAAACGGUGGAGCGGUGAAAUGCGUAGAUAUCGUUUGGAACGCCAAUGGUGAAAACAACUUGCUGGGGGUGUGCUGACGCUGAGACACGAAAGCCAGGGGAGCAAACGGG